AGCUUUAGGAAUAGAUCUAAGGUUAUACCUGCCCAAUGUUAACAUUAAUGGCCGCGGUACUUUGACCGUGCUAAGGUAGCACAAUCAAUUGGCUCUUAAUUAGGGUCAGGAAUGAAUGGAGUUACGGAGUUCAGCUGUCUCUUAGUUAAUCAAUUGAAGUUACUAUGUAGGUGAAAAAGCCUAUAACUAGAAAAAGGACGAGAAGACCCUAAGAGUUUUGCUUAGUAUGGUAAUAAAAAUUAUUCACAAUGGUUUAGUUGGGGCAACAUGGGAGCAGAAAGAAAAUCUCCUUAAUAUAAUUAACCGAUAUUAUUAAAUUUGGAUAAACUACCUUAGGGAUAACAGCAUUAUUUAAAAAAUAAGUUUGUGACCUCGAUGUUGGACUAGGAAACUUAAAGGCUAGCCGUCUUUAAGGGAAGUUCUGUUCGAACUAAUUAUUCCU
rnacentral:rRNA from 1 species